rnacentral:rRNA from 1 species
UGGAGCAUGUGGCUUAAUUUGACUCAACGCGGGAAAUCUUACCGGGUCCGGACACACUGAGGAUUGACAGACAUUUAUAUACGUAAUAGUAUAUAUUUAAAGAUGCUAGUUCUUUCAUGAUUAUGUGAUAGGUGGUGCAUGGCCGUUCUUAGUUCGUGGAGUGAUCUGUCUGCUUAAUUGCGUUUCAUAUUAUUAUAUAAUAUACACACAUUACGUGUGUUAUAUUAUUACUUUGAAAGCAACGAACGUGACCGUAGCCUUUUAUUAUAUACGCUACACGUAUAUUAAUUAAAGGGACCGCUGUAUCUUUCUUUAAACCAGAGUAAGGUUACGGCAAUAACAGGUCUGUGAUGCCCUUCGAUGUUCCGGGCUGCACACGUGCUACAAUGAUUAUUUCAUUAAGUAUCUACUGUGCAAUAAUAUAUUAUUAUUAUUCAAAACCUACUCUGAGAAUGAGCGGGUAAUCAAUUAGAAGUAAUGAUUUCCAAAUUUAUACACUCAUGUACCGUAUAUAUUAUCCCAUAUUUUAAUUAAUAUGCGUGUAUAAUAUUGUACGCUGUACGUAUAUUUAUUAAUUCAUGGUGGGGAUAGACUAUUGUUAAUUGUUGGUCUCGGUCUUAACUAGGAAUGCCUUGUACGGGUCAUUGGUUCAACAGACCACCCGGAAUACGCCCCUGCCCUUUGUACACACCGCCCGUCGCUCUUACCGAUGAACUUCGCUAUGAAUCUAUUGGACUGUACCAUUGUGGUAUGGAAAGAUAUAUGAAUAGUGUGGUUUAAAGGAAAGAGAAGUCGUAACAAGGCA